UUAACUAUUAUUAGUUAAAUCUACAAACAGAUUAAUGGACAUUAUCUAUGUUAUACUUGUGUCGACAUGACAACAAAUUUGGGUGCAGAAUACAUGUAAUGGCACUAGUUAUACAAACUUAGGUCUUUCACAUGAGCUAAAUCAAACACCAAAAAUGAAGUGGCCAGAGAGAUUUCUGGGUCAUGUGAAGAAAACCCCAAUCCACAAUUGAAC